UACGGGGGGGGCAAGCGUUGUUCGGAAUUACUGGGCGUAAAGGGCUCGUAGGUGGCCAACUAAGUCAGACGUGAAAUCCCUCGGCUUAACCGGGGAACUGCGUCUGAUACUGGAUGGCUUGAGUUCGGGAGAGGGAUGCGGAAUUCCAGGUGUAGCGGUGAAAUGCGUAGAUAUCUGGAGGAACACCCGUGGCGAAGGCGGUUCUCUGGGACGGUACUGACGCUGAGACGCGAAAGCGUGGGGAGCGAACAGG
rnacentral:rRNA from 1 species